CAGCCGCCGCGGUAAAACGAAGGGGGCUAGCGUUGUUCGGAAUUACUGGGCGUAAAGGGCGCGUAGGCGGCCAUUCAAGUUAGAUGUGAAAGCCCUGGGCUCAACCUAGGAAUUGCAUUUGAUACUGUUUGGCUUGAGUUCGGGAGAGGUGAGUGGAAUUCCCAGUGUAGAGGUGAAAUUCGUAGAUAUUGGGAAGAACACCAGUGGCGAAGGCGGCUCACUGGACCGACACUGACGCUGAGGCGCGAAAGCGUGGGGAGCAAACAGGAUUAGAUACCCGCGUAGUCCCUGUCUCUUAUAC
rnacentral:rRNA from 1 species